AGUAUUGAGAGAGUUGUUAACCAAGCCAUUGUGUCGUCGCGCACCGCCGACCUCCUUUGCCAAACUGCAAUACGACGGCUCACGAUCCUUCUUUAUGAACACCUUCAACCUAAUCUUUCAAGAGGUUAUUUUUGAGAAUAUUUCGUGAUAAAUCUCUCGACGUGACAGCUAACACCCGUAUCUGAUAUAGAAACAAAACUUGAAAGAUAUUUAUUAAAUACAUAGAUAGUUUGAAAAGUGACAAAAAAUAAGCCCACAAAAUGUUACAAUAAGAUAGACGUGAAAAGUUCAAGUCUUCCAUCUCAUUCUGUCGCAGGCUAAAUUUGACAGCUGCACAUAUUUGGUAUGUCUUUAGUGUCCCCUUUCGAAUGUCAUUUCCGUUUUGUUAAAUUUAAAAUUAUAACAGUGCUAUGGAAAUUUCGCCUUCGAAUAUUAUACUGCUGUUAAGGACAGACGAUGAGGAAGUAGUAAUAUGCACUCGAAGAGUUCUUGGUCGUUAUACGAAAAGCCUUUGCCAAAAUAUAACCUUAUUAAAUUAUUGUUACCCGUCGUCAUAACGCGACGAGAUGUACAGAAAACAGUACCUAUUAGUAUUCAUAGAAUAUUAAUAGAUAAUCCAUUCCCUCACAAUAUCAGAUCUAUCAGUGAACAUACAUAUAAAUCUUGAUAUAAUUUGACCCUAAACUUUUACAAUGCGACACAUCUAACAACGUUCUGGAAAAUUCAGAAGAUUCCCUUGGCUUUGGCUUAUGAUUACUAAUUGAGUGGUUCGAAAGGCAUUUGAAUCGGUCUAGUAUUCCUUAGAUGAUUCUUGAUCGAAUAAUUUAAACUAACAAACAGUCAAAUUUUGGAAGUGUUUCCAACAAAUAUAAUAUCUUCAAUUUACAGACGUGUAUAUCUACGGUUACUAAUGUAAUAAAACAACUACAUAAUUA